UCAGACGAUGCGUCAUGCAUAUCAAUAAGCGGAGGAAAAGAAACUAACAAGGAUUCCCUCAGUAACGGCGAGUGAAGCGGGAAGAGCUCAAAUUUGAAAUCUUAAAGGGUUCCCUUUCACGAAUUGUAGUUUAAAGAGGUGUUUUCUGCUGAGGUUUUGGUAAAAGUUCUUUGGAAUAGGACAUCAUAGAGGGUGAGAAUCCCGUAUUUGACCAUUACUUUCAACUUUGUGAUACACUUUCAAAGAGUCGGAUUGUUUGGGAAUGCAGUCCAAAAUGGGUGGUAAAUUUCAUCUAAAGCUAAAUAUUGGCGAGAGACCGAUAGCGAACAAGUACCGUGAGGGAAAGAUGAAAAGAACUUUGAAAAGAGAGUUAAACUAGUACGUGAAAUUGUCAAAAGGGAAGCGUUUAACACCAGUGUUGUUUUCUCGAAAAUCAAUUAAAAAUGGCUCGAUUUUGUAUUGUUGAGACCUUAAAAGCUCACUGUACAUUUUUCGUGUCUUUUUUAAUGCACUUUUCGUUUAACAAGUCAACAUCAGUUUCUUUUGUUGUAAAAGGGUCAUUGGAAGGUGGCUUUCUUUUCGGAGAAAGUGUUUAUAGCCUUUGGCCUCUGCGAUCGGAGAGACUGAGGUCUGCAGCGUAGACUCUUCGGGGUUAGAUACAUUUGUGCUAAGUUAUAGCUUUUUAUAGACAACUUGUUGACUAUAAUUAGUCUUGUAGCUUACUCGCUUAUGCUAUUUUACCUACGCUUAGGAUGUUGACUGAUAUGUAGUCGUA
rnacentral:rRNA from 1 species